AUUUUAAUAAGGUAUAAUCUGCUCCAUGUUAUAUUAAUAGCCGCAAAUCAAUUGUGCUAAGGUAGCAUAAUCAUUAGUCUUCUAAUUAAAGACUAGAAUGAACGAUUCUACAUUUUAAUUUAUUUUUUUAUUUAAUUAAUUUAAAUUUAAUCAAGAAUAAAAAUGUUCUUAUUUUUCAAAAAGACGAUAAGACCCUACUGAACUUUACUUAAGUUAAGCUGGGGAAGCUAAUUAAAAAUAAUUUUAAUUUAUAUUAUAAAAUAAAUAUUCAAUAAAAUUGAAAUAAACAAGUUACCAUAGGGAUAACAGCGUAAUAAAUUUUACAAGCUCUUAUUUUAAAAAAAGAUUACGACCUCGAUGUUGAAUUAAUUUUCCUAAAAAACGAAACCGUUUAAAUAGGGGGUCUGUUCGACCCUUAAAAAAUUACAUGAUCUGAGUUCAAACCGGAG
rnacentral:rRNA from 1 species